UACAGAGGGUGCAAGCGUUAAUCGGAAUUAUUGGGCGUAAAGGGCUUGUAGGCGGUUUAUUAAGUUAGGUGUGAAGACCCUGGGCUCAACCUGGGGCUGGCAUCUAAUACUGGUAAGCUAGAGUAUAGGAGAGGAGAAGGGAAUUUCUGGUGUAGCGGUGAAAUGCGUAGAUAUCAGAAGGAACAUCAGUGGCGAAGGCGCUUCUCUGGCCUAAUACUGACGCUGAGGAGCGAAGGCGUGGGGAUCAAACAGG
rnacentral:rRNA from 1 species